ensembl:miRNA predicted gene, 25745
CUGCUGGAGGUGUGAGGAGCUUAGACUCUGGGUUGGGGGGGUGGAGGCGGCUCCUGAGACCGAAAAGGACUUGCGACUCGCCGGCCACGCACCAUGAGGGUCCUGUGGGUGUUGGGCCUCUGCUGCGUCCUGC